GGUUUUCAAAGUUGGAACCUUGGACCAAGGUGAUGGUUCAGCAUCACCCAAGAACUUGUUAGAAGUACACAUUCUCGGGCUCUGCCCCAGACACUCGGAGAAUGGGACCCAGAAAUCUAACAAGCCUUCCAGGAGGAGCGGGCACAAAAUCAAACAAUGCCAGAUGGUUACUGCAGAAGGCUGAUAAUACCUUUAAGACACCAGCCCAUCAGAAACUCAACAAAACCAAUAAGAAAACAGGUGGCCAUCUCCGGACCAAGGGGGACGGGUUGCCAGACCGUCCACAGCAUUGUCACGCUUUCAAGUUCAGA